rnacentral:rRNA from 1 species
GACGAACGCUGGCGGCGUGCCUAAUACAUGCAAGUCGAACGCAGUUGCGAACGGGUGAGUACCGCGUCGGUAACUGCCUCAUAGCGGGGGAUAACUAUUGGAAACGAUAGCUAAUACCCCAUACUGUGAGCUGGACCUGCGUUGUAUUAGCUAGUUGGUGCGGUAAAGGCUCACCAAGGCGACGAUACAUAGCCGACCUGGGAGGGUGAUCCGCCACACUUGGACUGGGACACGACCCCGACGCCCACGGGAGGGAGCAGUAGGGAAUCUUCGGCAAGUGACGGAAGUCCGAACGCGCAACGGCGCGGGAGUGAAGAAGGGUUUCGGAUCGUAAAGCUCUUUUGUUAGAGAAGCGUUAACUAACCAGAAAGGGACGGCUAACUACGUGCCAGCAGCCGCGGUAAUAC